UUACGACCACAUCACAUUGAAACACCAGUUUCCGUAUUAUCACUGAAGUUAAGCAACAUCGAGCUUGAUCAGUACCUAGAUGGGUGACCGCUUAGGAAUACCAGGUGCUGUAAG